AACGAACGCUGGCGGCAUGCCUAACACAUGCAAGUCGAACGAGACCUUCGGGUCUAGUGGCGCACGGGUGCGUAACGCGUGGGAACCUGCCCUUAGGUUCGGAAUAACUCCCCGUAAGGGGUGCUAAUACCGGAUAAUGUCCUCGGACCAAAGAUUUAUCGCCUUUGGAUGGGCCCGCGUUGGAUUAGCUAGUUGGUAGGGUAAAAGCCUACCAAGGCGACGAUCCAUAGCUGGUCUGAGAGGAUGAUCAGCCACACUGGGACUGAGACACGGCCCAGACUCCUACGGGAGGCAGCAGUGGGGAAUAUUGGACAAUGGGCGAAAGCCUGAUCCAGCAAUGCCGCGUGAGUGAUGAAGGCCUUAGGGUUGUAAAGCUCUUUUACCCGGGAUGAUAAUGACAGUACCGGGAGAAUAAGCACCGGCUAACUCCGUG
rnacentral:rRNA from 1 species